CAGCUAAGCUAUCCAAAAGAGGUAUCGAAAGGCAACCAAUCUUUCUUGAAGAUUCUCUGCAUGGCAAGGAAAGAGAAUUUUUCAAGGAACAAGAGCACCGAACUGUUUCACAAGAAACAAAAUAUGAACUGCAAGUGCAAGAUGGGAUAGAUUGGUUAAGUCUGAAGGACGGAUUCCACUACAAUGGAGCUACCUCAAGACAAGUUCGGGGGUUUUUUAAGAUGACUUGCCCCUGCUCUGAAAACUGGAUCCCCGUAAUGACACCUCAGGCACAGCAGCCAUAACUAGAACGUGGAAAAACAACAGUACAAGUAGCUCAGUGAACAGGAGAACUAAUGAGACUUUGCUGUCUAGCUCCCUGUACUAGAUAGACAGAUACUGCAGUGACAGUCAGUCAACCAAGUUAUACUUUCUGACAAUGCCUUUGCUGUGGUUAACUUAGCGGCUCAUCAAAAAUCCACUGCUACCUCCAAGGUAAAUUCAUGCAGUGCAUGUUCUGGAAACCAGACUUUCAAGCUUUGCUGUCUUCUCUUGGGUGUCAUGAAGAGCAAGCAUGAGAUUCCACAGGAAGGGAAAUGGUAUGUAAAUCUGAAAAGCAUAGCCUGCAUCUUCAGUCCCUCACAUGAGUUCACCUUCUCUUUAGCUUACCUAUGGCAAUGGGAGCAAUCCAUGCUCUUUCGGGAAUAUUUUGUUAAGGCUACCUACUGAUAGCCUUCUCUGUCUUGAAGCAG